AACAAUACAGUUUAUAAUGCUACAACAUCAGGUAUAGUAAGCAAAAUCCUACGAAAAGAAAAGGGGGGAUACGAAAUAACCAUAGCGGAUGCAUCGGAUGGACGUCAAGUGGUURAUAUUAUCCCUCCGGGGCCAGAACUUCUUGUUUCAGAAGGGGAAUCUAUCAAAUUUGAUCAACCKUUGACAAGUAAUCCUAAUGUGGGCGGAUUUGGUCAGGGAGAUGCAGAAAUAGUACUUCAAGAUYCAUUACGUGUACAAGGCCUUUUCUUCUUCUUCGCAUCUGCUAUUUUGGCACAAAUAUUUUUGRUUCUUAAAAAGAAACAGUUCGAGAAGGUUCAAUUGUCCGAAAUGAAUUUCUAGAAUCGCGGAUUUAUCGACAUCAAGUUUGUAAAAAGAACCAAAUUUAUUGCACAUUGCCACAUCCAUUUUCUUCUGAAUUGUCUUUACUUUUUACCUUUCAAGGUUUACUUUUAUGAUCAAGAACUUCGGACAUGGAUGUUAGAGAGAUCUUUUUAACUUCCUUUCUACACCCACAUUGUUUCACUUUUCCAUGAAAUUACAUUCUGAAGUGACGUUGAUUCCUCUAGCUUGAAGAGCGUCUCGAGAAAUUUUAAAUUUAGAGGACAAUAAGGGUAUCUUUGUACACUGUUUUGCGAUGUCUUAAAAACUUGGUAUGUAGAAAACACAAUUGAUUUCUGCAGUUGGUUUACGAGACCUAAUUGAUUUUCAUUGAUAUUGCAGGGACAAGGUUUUUGAACAACAUAAAAUCUUGUAUCAUUCUGCUAUGCCAUUUACUUUUUUGGUUCUAAAACUACAUGGGUUACUUUAUACACUUGACACAAUUUAUUAGUAGCUUAGGUUUGAGAAAAAAUGUAGAGAAUUUGGAGAAGUAUAGUGAAACAAGUCUACGGUCAAUGGUCAAUAUUGGGUCUGAAGUAUACACACAAGCUGAUGUGUAUGUAUUUUGACCAUGGACCUGUGAUUUGUUUUACUACAGGAAAAAGUUUUUGAUCAUUGAAAUCCAUUUUUAAGUAACUUUCAAAACAAAAUGCUUGUGCUUAUAAAAAGGCAGGAAUUGUGGAUGAAGAGACCAAUAAAAUCCUUCUUUUACAAUUGUUCCUUUUCAUUAAAGUGAUUUCAAUCUUACGCAUAAAGCUCUUCAUGUUUGCAGUCCUGAUACCACGCCACAUAUUUCCAGAUGUUGGGAUUAUAUUGCAUGUAGAUCUCACUUGGUGAGGCUUUUAAAAUCAUCCCUGCCAGGGAAGAAAAAUUAGAUAGGUAUUUGUUUGAAUAUUCUGUUUUUGGUUUUGUAUUGCAUCUUUUAUGAAUAGUGGCAUCAUAAAUCAAAAUAAUCAAACUAAAAAUACGAAUAUUUGGAAUGGGCACAAGCUCAUCAGAUAUUAAGUGGUUGUGGUUGUUUUGUGUAAGGCAAAUCGAGGAAUACACCCAUCUGAUUGCACAAAUAAAAGCCCAAAUCAAGACGGUUUGCAAGGGAUAUGAGAGUUGCUACAACUGCCAGUGGGAGUAAUUCUGCCAAACUAUUGAGGCAAAAACAAUAAACUAAACAUUGAAAUUUGUUUAGAUCAGAUUUGCCAAUUUGAUUUGUUGUCAAAACAUAUUCAAUCUUUCUUCAAGUGAAAUAUAUAAAUUGUUUGAGUUAUCGAUCA